UAUGUAGCAGGAUUAGGUGAGCUGUGACUGACAGCUGGUAUCGCCUAUCAGAGAGUGGCAGUCCCCUUUUAAGCGGUGAUUGGCUGCUGCUCUGAAUGCGUCAUGUCCGACUUCCCCCCCUGGGGGUUUGCAACGUUAGCGGCAGGUGAGUUCUUGCUAACAUGCUAUGGUUAGCAGUUUUAAUCUGUUUGUCAUUUAAAAGUAAUGUUGUGUUGGUUUUAGUGUGUUGUCUGUCGUGCUGGUGCCCUUGUGCUGUCCGUGGUGUACGUGAUGGUGUACCCUCAGUUGGCUUAUGGUUUUCCUGCUGUUGGUUAACCUGUGCCAUAAAACAGUAAAUUGUCUGGGGUGAUACCACUGUUCGGAGCUGGGGUCCCACGGGUGGAUGGAUCUGUCCGGUGGUGGUACUUCCUCCUCAGUGUGUGCUGUGUAACACUUGAAGUGUGUGGUUGUGUAAUCUGAGUGCACCGUUGUGUGUGUGUGUGUGUGUGUGCCUUUUUGUAAACACCAGUCGUGAUUAAGUGAUUCUUCCCGCUGGGAACCUCAGCCCUGCUGGUUAUUAUAUGUUUGUUUUGUUUCCAUUUAACCUUAAUUUUGAGUGUGUGUGAUUGUGAUGCAUUUUGAAGUGGAGUGACUGAUGUAUGUUGGGAGUGCUCAUUUUAAAGGAUUCUGUCUAAAUAAAAUUUAUUUUUGUACUAUA